GCAUGGAGGCGGAAUAGGUGGAGACGGAGAGGUGGGCGAUUCGGCAGACCUUGUCUUCCUCAACGACGAUUGUGGAUUUCCGGCGAGGUCCUCUUGAGCCUGCUGUAACAAUGGGCAAGGGGACAUUCUCCUUUUAUUAUUAUUUUUGUUGGCUUAUACUAUCCAUCAUAUAUAUGUAUGUGUGAUUUUUAUACUUCUACACAGUGCAAUUUCUUUUCAGCAAACAAUUCAUAAAACCAUAUGUAUUUGUAGUGCUUCUACUAGCAGUAUGAUAUGUUGAAUUUGUCAAAAUUAUAUUUUCAAGCUAAAUUCACAUGGAUAUAUAUUCUUCGUACCAUGUACCUUUUGCAUCAGUAUGUUCUUUGGGUGAUUGUCCUUCAUAUAAUGUCUAAACUUGUCAUUUUCUUACAGAUGUUCUUCAUUCUUUUCAGUUUUGAAUAAUAAAAUUUAUAGUGAUAAUUUAUAUCAAUGUGGCAUUAUUAUGACAUUUUAGUUUCAUUUGAAAAUCCUUUUCAUGUAGUGAUAUAAAAUUACACUAGUGAAACUUCUUCAAUUUCAUCGCACAGAUUGUACUUUCUAUCUUACGGAGGGUGCCCUUUUAUUGCUAUGAUGUACAGUCAUUGUGUGUUUUAUCUCUUCUAGAGGCUUUUUUUUAUUUCAUCAUAGUCUGCUCGAUCAUGGAGGGUUAGCUCAAAUCUUUCUAGCUAGUUUCUGCCCUCUCUACAACUGUUUCCUCAUGCACCUCCACAUUUACUGUACCAUUCCUACUUAAUUAUAGUUUAGUAUAUGCAGAGACAAUGUUGCCUUUCAGUGCAUACGACCACUAAAUCUUGGAUAAUCCCAUGCUUGCAUAUUUGAAACUAUUUUUCCUGGCCGCCAUCUAUGGUUUGCUUGGCAUCCCUUUUUUCAUACUUGAUGUGGUACAGGCCUAUCUGCCGCAUAAUGAGGUAUGUGGCAUUGGUUAUAAAUGCCUUUUAAUUUUGUGUAGCUUUUGAAUCUAGGUGACCGAUUCGAUUUGUAAUUAUAAUUUCUAUUGUUCUAGAACAACGAUGACUCUAAGAUGAUAUGUGAAGACAACUUCAAGAAUGUAUACAAGUUAUUUUGUGGUUGAGUAUCCUAUUGUGUAAACUAAGAGUUUACCCAAGUGUUUUUGAGAUGAGUGGUGUGUAAUGCACCUUUCCAAG